GGGUUGUGAGGUUAAGCGACUAAGCGUACACGGUGGAUGCCCUGGCAGUCAGAGGCGAUGAAGGACGUGCUAAUCUGCGAUAAGCGCCGGUAAGGUGAUAUGAACCGUUAUAACCGGCGAUUUCCGAAUGGGGAAACCCAGUGUGAUUCGUCACACUAUCAUUAACUGAAUCCAUAGGUUAAUGAGGCGAACCGGGGGAACUGAAACAUCUAAGUACCCCGAGGAAAAGAAAUCAACCGAGAUUCCCCCAGUAGCGGCGAGCGAACGGGGAGGAGCCCAGAGCCUGAAUCAGCAUGUGUGUUAGUGGAAGCGUCUGGAAAGGCGCGCGAUACAGGGUGACAGCCCCGUACACAAAAGCGCAUGUGCUGUGAGCUCGAUGAGUAGGGCGGGACACGUGGUAUCCUGUCUGAAUAUGGGGGGACCAUCCUCCAAGGCUAAAUACUCCUGACUGACCGAUAGUGAACCAGUACCGUGAGGGAAAGGCGAAAAGAACCCCGGCGAGGGGAGUGAAAAAGAACCUGAAACCGUGUACGUACAAGCAGUGGGAGCCCCACCACUAAGCCAGUGGUGAACUCCACAUACGCAUCCUUUGCUGAGGAUACGGUUAACGGAGCGAAAGCGACGUUCAACCGCAAAAGAAGCAGAGGGGGCUUAGUGGUGGGGUGACUGCGUACCUUUUGUAUAAUGGGUCAGCGACUUAUAUUCUGUAGCAAGGUUAACCGAAUAGGGGAGCCGGAGGGAAACCGAGUC
rnacentral:rRNA from 1 species